rnacentral:rRNA from 1 species
AGUGAACGCUGGCGGCAUGCCUAACACAUGCAAGUCGAACGGAAGCACAGUAAGAGCUUGCUCGAACGGGUGGCGAGUGGUGGCCGAGUGAGGAAUACAUCGGAAUUUAUUUUUCCGCGGGGGAUAUCGUAGGGAAACUAACGCUAACUACUCAUAUGUACUACGGCUGGAUGCAGGCGAUGUUCGGAACUUGCGUGCUAGUAGGAGCCGAUGUCGGAUCAGCCAGUCGGCGGGGUAAAGGCCUACCAAGCCGACGAUCCGGAGCUGGACUGCGAGGGUGAUCGGCCACACUGGAACUGAGACACGGUCCAGACUCCUACGGGAGCCGGCAGUAGGGAAUGUUGGACAAGGGGCGCAAGCCUGAUCCAGCCAUACCGCGGGGGUGAGGAAGGCCUUCGGGUUUUAGAGCCCAUUUGUUUGGGAAGAAAAGCAACAGAUUAAUACCCCACUGUUCUGACGGUACCCAAAGAAUAAGCACCGGCUAACUUCGUG